AGAGGGUUGGACUGUAUGGUCCUUAUGGUCUCUUGCAACUUUAUGAUUCUGUGAAUGAGUUGUUGAAACUUUAAAAGCCCCAAAGUUAUCUGGAUAUGCACAGAUUUGUCACAUGAGUUUCUCAUUACCAGCCAUCAUGGCGAAUUAAAAGGAAGGAAAUGUCUCUUUGUAGUGAUGGAGCUUUGCUGAUGAAGCAUCUUGAAAUAUCUUUGUUUGAAUGUAUGGGGAGGGAAUGUCAUCAUUCAACCAGAGCACUUUUGUCUGUAUCUGAUCAUCAGCAUCAAUAAUCCAGAGCUUCUAAUCAAAGUCAGUAUGAGGAGAAACUCUUUCUUUAAUUGAACAGUCAGUACAUUCCUGCCAAUUUGUCACAUUCCUGCCUUUUCAUUAGAGCUGCAUAAAAAGCAAGCACUAAGCUAUAAUAAUGGCCAACACAUAACACAGAAAAAGGAAGGCAACGAAAAUCUUUCCAACAUUCUUGUGAUCUUUCUAAAACUCAAGUGCCUGUUCGGUGUGCAUGGCGAGAAAUGAGCCCUAAAUGAUGUGAAAGCCACUGCAUUUCUUUUGUCCUAUUACAUUUUGUGGUUUCCAUAAAACCCAUAAAGCUCUUCCUUAACUUGGCAGUCUUGAGGGUUAAUUAAACAAGUAGCAUCAGAAUAUUAAUACCAGCACUCAUUUUCUAUAGGUCAGUACAUUUGGGGAGCUGAAAUUUGUGAUUCCGGUCUAAGAAUGUGAACGUUCUAGCUAGCUGGAUGUGCUGUUUCCCUGGAUACCUUCACUUUUAGGACCCAGCUGGAUGCAGCAUUCAUUUUGUGUAUGUGUGGCAUAUACAUUUAUAUUUUUAAUGCAACCAAGAUUAGAAUUACAAAGGUGGGUUGUGGGAGGGGCUCAUUCUUUUUCCUUCCACUUUCCCAAUGAAAAUUGUUGCCCCAAACCAAAAUUGCCCUCUCAACUAAUUGAUAUGAAUGUGGUGCUAUAUUACAUUUCUGCUAAAAGACUUUUACAAUUACAAGCAUACCUGAAUAGAACCUAUGAGACGGACACUCCUUUUAACAAAGACGUUUUACAUCUCUCAGGCCUCACUUCCCCUUUUAUUUUUCUCUCCUGACCACCUAGAGGCUUUUCAAUAGCAUCAGCAUUGGGAGGAUAGUUGAAAGAGAAAUAUGUGCUCAUGAUGUUGCGUUGCAACAGUGUGUCUGCAGUAAACAGUACAACAAACAAAACACUGCUGAAAAACAAAAACAAAAACCUGAGUGCAUUUUGGAAGAAACCUUCCAAAACAGUGGUUCUCAACCUAUGGGUCCCCAGAUGUUUUUGGCCUUCAACUUCCAGAAAUCCUAACAUCUGGUAAACUGGCUGGGAUUUCUGGGAGUUGUAGGUCAAAAUCCCUGGGGACCCACAGGUUGAGAACCACUGCUUUAGAAGAUUCAAAAUGUUUUUAUUAUCUUAUUCAAGACUUAACUGAUCUGGUUAAGUGCAUAUCAUACGUGCAUAAUGUUAGUUUGGAAUAAAAAUUCUGCUGAAACAUGCUGAAGCUGCUCUUCUUUUAUGAAGUGUUGGAAUCUAUCCCCUAUUCUUUCCGUGUUAUUUGUGUCUCUGAUACUAAAUAUUUUCUUAAUAUGUUAAAAAAGAGGUUUUUAAUCUUAAUUCAGACAAUUAUAUCUUCACAGUGGCAUCAUAAUGGGUGGCAGAGGGUGCUCUCACUUGUUCAAAAUAAGAGGGUGCAAGGGUGGCUUUUUUCUUUCCUCCCUCAUUUAGGUGCUUUGAGAAAAGGAAAGCAGAGAUUGCCUGUCAAAAAUGCAAUUUGGGUAGGACCCACUCAUACUCUGCAUUGAGACAAAAUCCUGAAUUGGAAAGAUGCAUCAUUGAAUACUAAGGUUAGAAUUGCCCAUGCAUUAGAAGUGUGUGGACAGGGAGUGGGGUAUUUCCAGUUUCUAUGUAAGGUUAUGAAAGCUGGAUGGUGACAAAAGCUGUUGGGAAGAAAAUCAACUCAUUUGAAAUAUGAUUCUGGAGAAGACCUCUAUGAAUACUAAAAAGACACAUGAAUAGAUCCUAUGACCACAUCAGAUGUGUGUGGGGGAUUGGCGGCAUGCAUCAGUUUGCCUUCCCUUUUAUGACAGAGCCCGCCAGCUCCUAUCUCACAACGCACUGCAAAUUCUGUCGGGGCUCCAUCGAAAAGAGGUAGGCAAACUGGUGCAUGCCAACAUAUGUUGCCAUGGAUCAACUGUGGGAAGCUGGGUGGUAGAUGCCUUCUCCCAUGGCUGGGGACUUGUAUGAGUUAGGUAAUACAUGCUGUGGGGUGACAGGUUCCCCAUGACCCCGGAUGGGCAAUACCAGAAUUGCCACAAUCUGUGAAGAUUCUGGCGGCAUGAUUGAUAAGGUCACUAGAGAAAAUUUAACCCCAGGCUCUUUUUAACUAAGCUAUAACUUUUAUACUUUAGACAUACCAUGAGAUACAUGUUACUGUUGUUUUGUUAACUUCCAUCAGGUUGGUUUCAACAAAUUGAAACUCUAUGAAUGAGAGACCCUCAAAUAGCCCUAUCAUCAACAGCUCUGCUCAGCUCUUACAAAUUCAAGGCUUUGGCUUCUUUGAUUGAAUCUAUACAUUAAUAAUGUGGUCUUCCUCUCUUGCCGCUACCUUCUACCUUACCAAGAAUAAAGGACUUUUUAGUGACUUCAUGUCUUUUCUCUAGAAUAAUGUUUGGCAAGGAGAAAAGUAUGAAAAGAGUGAGUGCAAAGACAUGAUGAUCAUUAUCAAGUUUCCAAGGAAGGAAAUGUAUGCUCUUCUAUUUUCCCCAGGCUUCUUGAAAGGUGAAUUAUAUGCAUGCAGAUGAAAAGGAGAUGAGAGAAAGCCAGAUAGAAGACAGAUUGAUGCAUAGAUAAAUGCUCAUGGAGGAAGGCAACUAAACUAUGCAGAUUCCAAAUUUACAGCAUAACCUUUGAAGCCCACCCAACCCAGCCAUCCUCUUCAGGAAGGUGGCACACAUUGAAAAGUAUCCAUCAACACUGGACAAGCAGGAAUCAUGGUUAAAUCCACUGAAACUGUAUCAGCGAAAGCAUCCAAGCUGGAGCAAAUCUGAGGUUCUGCAGAACACAUGGAUGCUGUCAUUUCCCUGCUUCCCAAAAACAAAUCUGAGACAUCAAGAAAAUUGCAAAUCACAUGCUUCUCAUUCGCAUACAUGUAC